GGGGUUGUGGCUCAGUGGUAGAGUGUUUGCCAAACAAGUGUGAGGCACUGAGCUCGAUCCUCAGCACCACA
rnacentral:tRNA from 1 species